rnacentral:misc_RNA from 1 species
AACCUAGCACACCUGCGGUGUGUACCUGCGGAGGGAUCAUUACCGAGUUUACAACUCCCAAACCCCUGUGAACAUACCUAUACGUUGCCUCGGCGGAUCAGCCCGCGCCCCGUAAAACGGGACGGCCCGCCCGAGGACCCUAAACUCUGUUUUUAGUGGAACUUCUGAGUAAAACAAACAAAUAAAUCAAAACUUUUAACAACGGAUCU